AGGAGCUUUAUAUGAGAUCUUGCAUCGUUUCUGAGCUAGCUUGUCUCCCAAUGCUGCAAUUCCAUUCCUCCCAUGAUCAUCGUCUACAUAAAUUGCUAUUACUGCCCUCCAUCCGUAGUAGUCUACAAUAUCUGCAAUUGCAGCCAUCUGGAAUAUGUCACUCUGUGUUGUUCUAACAAAGAAUGGGUACUGAAGUGAAGACAGCGUGGGGUCUGUUGCUGCAAAUGAUAAUAGGGGCACUUGAAGCGCACUGGCAAUAUGGGACAUGACAUGAGCAGUUACAGAAAACUGGGGGUCAAUUAUGGCCACUACCUCACUCCGCACCAAGCUUAAAGCCUCAAGCAUGCUCAUAUAUCCAUUAUAAUUUGCGUCCCUCAUAGUAAGUUGCAGCUUAGUUGUACCAAGAACAGCCUGGUUCUUAUUCACAUCUUCCACCGCAGCUUCUAUUGCAAGUUUUGCCACUUUGCCAAUGGACGAAUCAAAAGACAGAAGAGCCCCAAUGUUCACAACUUUUGGUCUUGCUUCAACACUGCUCCUAGCAACAUUUGAAGAGAACCCAUUGCACAAAACCAUUAAAACCACAAGCAAAACCUUGUGCGUGGUACAUUGUCUAAACACAAACCCCAUAAUCUCACUGCUAGAUUUAUGCAGUAGUUGCUGUCUUCUGUCUCAGACUCUUAGCUUGGCGGCUUUGCAUUACAACAAACAAUUAACUGUAUAAUAAAAUAAAAGUUAAUGUAACUUCAAACCUGAGAUUCUACAGCUUAUUUCAUUUCAUAUAUUGUGAAGAGAGAUGAAUUACUCAAAGAAAUCAUCACCUCCUCUCCAGAAACCUCUUCCUUAGUACAGAAAAAAAAAAUCUGCAAAAACAAUCAUGAAAUCUCUUCCAGGUUCUAAAAUUUUCUACCAAAUGCUCAAAAUUCUAACGUCUUGGACAAGCUUGAAGCAUUUUAGAGCUUGCUAUCACCGCCAUUCAAGAAGCUUGAAGCUUCAUCAUCGACAUGUAUGUGUAAUAUAAUUAGGUGUGGUGUGUGCAGAUGAGAAAGAGAAAUGUGUGCGAGUGAGAAAGUUGAGUGCGAACGUACUCAAGUAGUGGUGUCUUGCUCCAAUAAUUUUGCGUGUG
rnacentral:misc_RNA from 1 species